rnacentral:tRNA from 1 species
GGGCCGUUGGCGCAGUUCGGUAGCGCGCUUGCUCGACACGCAAGAGGUCACUGGUUCAAGUCCAGUACGGCCCA